UUGCCCUACGGGGCGCAGCAGUGAGGAAUAUUGGUCAAUGGCCGAGAGGCUGAACCAGCCAAGUCGCGUGAGGGAUGACGGCCCUACGGGUUGUAAACCUCUUUUGUCGGGGAGCAAGACCCGCUUCGUGCAGGCGGAGCGAGAGUACCCGAAGAAAAAGCAUCGGCUAACUCCGUGCCAGCAGCCGCGGUAAUACGUAGGUGGCAAGCGUUGUCCGGAUUUAUUGGGCGUAAAGCGAGUGCAGGCGGUUCAAUAAGUUUGAUGUGAAAACCUACGG
rnacentral:rRNA from 1 species